GCCGGAGUGGUGGAAUUGGUAGACGCGCUGGAUUCAAAAUCCAGUAUCCUCACGGGUGUGCCGGUUCGACUCCGGCCUUCGGCACCA
rnacentral:tRNA from 1 species